AGCGAACGCUGGCGGCAGGCCUAACACAUGCAAGUCGAACGGACCCUUCGGGGUUAGUGGCGGACGGGUGAGUAACACGUGGGAACGUGCCUUUAGGUUCGGAAUAGCUCCUGGAAACGGGUGGUAAUGCCGAAUGUGCCCUUCGGGGGAAAGAUUUAUCGCCUUUAGAGCGGCCCGCGUCUGAUUAGCUAGUUGGUGGUGUAACGGACCACCAAGGCGACGAUCAGUAGCUGGUCUGAGAGGAUGAUCAGCCACAUUGGGACUGAGACACGGCCCAAACUCCUACGGGAGGCAGCAGUGGGGAAUCUUGCGCAAUGGGCGAAAGCCUGACGCAGCCAUGCCGCGUGAAUGAUGAAGGUCUUAGGAUUGUAAAAUUCUUUCACCGGGGACGAUAAUGACGGUACCCGGAGAAGAAGCCCCGGCUAACUUCGUGCCAGCCGCCGCCGUAACAC
rnacentral:rRNA from 1 species